GUGUGAGGUAGUAAUUGUGUGGGAGUGAGCAGCCCCCCCGCUGUGUUUUUGUUCACUGCUCCCUGCUGUUUUUCAGGCCUCUGGGCUCACAUUGUAUUCAAGUGUUGCUGCUAACAUCUAUACUCCUGUUAACGCUCACAGCUAGCAGUGUAUCGAAUAUUUAUAUUGAAUAUAAAAAUCCUUUUCUUGUUAGCAGCGAAGGUCACAUCGUCAUGCUGAAAACAUGCAUGCUCUUUCCUGCUAAGAUGAAUUAUUAUUCAGCUACUCAUCACCACAAUACACGAGCUUUAGGCUCUUAUUAAGAUAUUCCCUCUUUCUUCCUCCGUGCAAUGAAUCACUCUGAUAAUGUGGCAUAUUUAUCAAUUUUCUUCUGCCCUCUCUGUCUUUCUAUUCCUCUCCAAUGAGCCUGUGUUAGAUAUGAUCAAUGUAUUCUUUAUUUCCAUACCUCCAUCUCUACGAACUCCCCUCCCUCUUUUCUCUUUCUCCAUCUAAUGAUCAUGGCAUUAUCUUCCUCCCACUGAUCACCUUCCUCUCUAUCUAAUGAUUGCUCCUAUUUGAUCAAGCCAUAUCCCUGCUCCCUCUCUUUUUCUCUCACAUUAUUCCUCCCACUCUCUGCCCACCCUCCCAGUCUCCCUGUCUCCCUCUCUGCCUCAGUUUCUUCUUCAGUUUUUGUUUUUCACUUGCUCCAUCUCCCUCUUUUCCCGUCUCCAUCUCUCUCUGUUCAUCGAUCCAGUAAACCGGGGUAGUGUUGCUGUACUUGUGUACAUUUGGUCAUGUAAUGUAUCUGAAUCAAACAAGGUCAGAUCAGGUUUUCUUUUCUCCUUGAAAGUUCCUAGAGUGCAUUGUUUCACCUGUUUAGUGUUACUCCGAGACAGUCAACUUCACAAAUACAUAGUGUUAGCAAAAACAAAUCAUGACUAACCGAAUCUGUCUUGUUUCUUCUCUCCUCCCUCUGCUCUCCAUCUUCAUGAACAAAAGUUUCUGAUGGCUGUAGAGACCAGGGUGUUCCCCAAGAUGUCUGAGAGACGUCGCUCUCAUGUUACCUGAUGGAUCAGGACCACUUUAACUUCCCUGAAGCCUGACAGCGACCUUUACCUUCGUGAUGACCUGUAGCUGACAACAGAGAGAGGAAGAGACAUGAUGAAAAUGGUUUAGUCAAAGUGAAUCAGAGAGACUGCCCUUUGUGAAAGUAUUUGAUUGCUGGCUGGUGAUUGGUCAACACCAGGCCACAUUUACAUUUACGAUUAAAAGAAACAAGAUGGGAGGAAGAGACUUCAACUGUACAGUCACAAGAAAUACAGUGGAUAUGAAUAACAAUGUGUUUUGUUGAGUGAUUCUAGUCGUGAUUUUUGAAUUCUGUCUUUCGAUAUUUUUUAUUUGAUCAAUUUGACUGAAACCACAAAUCUGUAAAAGCUGUAGGUCACCAACAUAUUUCCUACAGGACAUGAUGGAAUAAAUGAAGAACAAAAGACGAACCAUUAGCAUGAGGACGUGAGAUAAUUAAGACACUGAUUUGCCAGCUUUGUGUUUUUGGCUUGUGCAUUUUUGCCAGAACCCAGUUGAACAAAAUAUAGAGAAAAAACUACUUCAGCAAAUGAUAUCCAUCCAUAACAAUGUUGCUGUGACAGGUGUAUUUGGCUCAGUGAUGAAUCAUAUGUCAUUGGGCUCAAAACACAAACAGAGUUUCCACUGCCCCUGAAUUGGCUGCCUGGUGCAGCUGCCACUCUGCUUAAAGCAGUUUAUUUCAGUGUUAAACGUUUAUUGGAGAGUUUACUGUUUCAAAAACUGACUUUAGCAUUAGCCUCUAGUGUGUUUUAGUGGCCUUUCUAUUGUGAUAUCGACACCAUUUUGCUGGUCUGAAAAGGUACAAUAUAUUGAACUUUAAGGGGGUUCGAGGUUCUCAUUCUUAAACAUGUUGCAUCUUCUCUAAACGGUGAGGAAAACGGUGUUUACUGCGCACAGAAUCAGCAUUUAUUCAAGUGAUGAGUGUGGAACAAACAUAUAAUCAAAGUAUAAAUGUCUCUGAUACUCAAUAUUCAGUGUAGACAGUUUAAAUGAUAACUUGAUUAUGAUGAAGGUGUUAGCAACCCUUCCAUUAGUCUUAACAGUAGGUACAACACAGUGUUUCAAUAGCAAUCACAUCUUCAGCCUGCUGUAUCUCACUGUUGGUCACAAGAUGCAUGGUAUCCUGAAAUGUCAGGGCUGUGUGUAAAAAUGACUCAUCCUUCCUGAUAAUUACUAGAUUUGAACUGUCGUACCUCUCUAAUGUGUAAAUCAGUGUCAGAACGAUAUCACACAUUAUUAACGUUGUAUCUAAAUAGCAGGUUUCAAAAUAUCACCUCUCAUUACUGGCCUCACUGGGGAACUAUAGUAACCUCCCUGUCUGUCACAUCACGACAUUAAGAUUCAGUUACAGUAAUGUCACUGAGGCAUGUGACUGGGGUGCAGUGUUUGAAUGGCUAGUUUGGGCUCAUUUACAUUGAUUGAUGAGAGUCACUAAGAGUCAUCAGCUCCCAUAAGAAACUCCAGUAGAAAUAGUAAUAUAAUAAAAUCUUAAGGUUGUUGGAUUCACAGUUGUGUCGAGUACAAAACCAAAAUGUGUAAAUUAUCUAUAUAUCGAUGUGUGUUUGUGUGUAUGACUGAUUGUGUGUAAUAUGGAGACUGGGGAUUACUAUAUAUGGUGUGGGCUCAGUAUUACUAUGUGGGAGGGUCUGUAGGUCAUAAAUGAUGUUCUAAACUCAUAAAGUUGUAAUAUUUAACACAACAACUGCCUUGGAAGUGUUGAUCCAAACAAAGCUUUUCCCAUGAUGCCACAUUAGCUUUCUAAGAUACUGUAUCAUUGGCUUAUUUCCCUGAAAAAUAUCCAAGAGUAUCAAAAGUCAAACAGCCUUAAAAUGAAAAGAAUCAAAACAGUUAGCGUGAGCCAUAACACUGAUGGAAAGCAGUAAAUCAAAAUCACUGCAAGUGCGUUUGCAGGAAAUGAGUGCUCAGCUCAGUUACUGCCCCACAGCACAUUGAUAUAUUGGACAGAUUCUGCAAAUGUAGGGCAGCAUUUCUGGGUAAAAGUUGAGAUAAAUUCAUUCAUAGUAAAAACUCAAAAGUGUUUGUGCCUCAAUAGAAAUCAAACCUUAAUUCAUGCUGUGAUUUUUCCCUCCUCUUCAUCUGCUUUAUUACUGGUGAUGUUUAUCUUCGAUUUUUUUUCCCUCAGUUAACUUUGUACGGUUUCAUUCAUUAUCUUAGCCAAAUGCCUUUCUGAGAGCUCUACUCUAUUUUUGGAUGACAACACUAAUGUUUUUAAGUUUUGACUGUGUGUGUGUUGUACAGUUUUUGUGUGCGAGAAAGAAGACGUCUGUACUUCUGAUAUUUUAUGCCUUACAAAUGACCAGUGUUCUCCCAUAAGUGUUUCUGUAGCAGUGGUGCUGGAGUUUCUUUACCUUGUUUGGGUUGGGCGCAGUUUAGAGAUUUGAAAUAUUGUCAUUUAAACACUUUAUUAUAAUCAACCUUUCAGCCCUAAACACUGAUUCUGUUUCAGGGUCAAUAAUAGCAAAUUGUAAUGUAAGUUUUCCAUGACGAUGGUGUUGUGUUCGCUUUUCGAUUGUGGAAUGAACAUACUGCCGUGUACAGUUUUCUGCAUGCAUAUCUUUGGUGUUAAACGACUGUACAGAGUAACAUACACAUGCACACACAGACUAACUUAACUAUUUUAAGAUUGUAGCUUUAUUCUGUGACUUUGCAAUAUUGAUUUUAUUUUAAGCCCUUUAAGGUGACUGAUACAAAUUCUUUCGAUUAAAAACAGUUUUGGUUCUA